GGUUAAGUCAUUCACAGGUGUUCAUCGAAUAAUGUUGUUGUUACUGUACAUGGUGUUCAUUGGAGUUUCUUGUUCAAGGAGCAGCAAAUAGGAACAUGGGGAAUAGAAGUAUCUUGGAAGAUUUCAGGUACAGAAGAUUCCAGAAAAAGGAGAAGUGUGUAUUCUCAAGUAUGCUGCAGGUACUGGAUUUCAGAGGAAAAAGAGAAAGAGGAAGAAGAGGAGGAAAAGAAAGAAAAAGAAAGGUUGCUGUGUCAUUGAUGACAUCUCACUAGAAUUUCUUCAAGGAAGCUCCUAGCAAAUAUCAUAUGGAGAAAAAGAUACAGUAUUCCAGACCACCCCUGACUCUAAAAGGAAAACCCUGGGAAUUAUUAGAGAGUUAUCUUCUCUCUCAGGACCUCUACAAUUCACAGAAUUUAUGACAUCAGUGAAAAACCCACAGGAUCUGGGUUUGCUCUUCCAUGCAAUGAUUCAAAAUAUCCCCUUUCUCCUAGCUGCUCUAAGUAAAUCUUGGUUUGCUAAAAGCAAAGAUCUGUUAAAGAAUUGAAGAAAUGGAAAGCAGAGGCUAAAUGACUUGACCAAGAUCACACAGCUAAAUUGAAGAAAUGGAAAGCAGAGGCUAAAUGACUUCAUCAAGAUCACACAGCUAGUAAGUAUUUGAAACUAGAUUGAAAUAUCCCUGACUUCAAGCCUAGAGCUCUAUUUACUAUAUUACUUCACUGCCUUUAAAUAACA